CAGCCUCGGUGCUGUGGACACUCCCUGGGGCCCAGUGAAGGGGAGAGUUUGCUCCCAAAGGCACAUCAAUGACCAACAUUUGCCCCCCGGAGGAAAGAACUGGAACCAGGGUCAAGGCCAACCUGUCAGAGGUGCUUGUGUCCAGUGUCCUGGGGGUCAACGUGACCAGCGCUGAGGUCUAUGGAGCCUUCACCUGCUCCAUCCAGAAUGUCAGCUCCUCCUCCUUCACUCUUCAGAGAGCUGGCCCUACAAGCCACGUGGCUGCGGUGCUGGCCUCCCUCCUGGUCCUGCUGGCCCUGCUGCUGGCCGCCCUGCUCUAUGUCAAGUGCCGUCUCAACGUGCUGCUCUGGUACCAGGACGCGUAUGGGGAGGUGGAGAUGAACGACGGGAAGCUCUACGACGCCUACGUCUCCUACAGCGACUGCCCCGAGGACCGCAAGUUCGUGAACUUCAUCCUGAAGCCGCAGCUGGAGCGCCGUCGGGGCUACAAGCUUUUCCUGGACGACCGCGACCUCCUGCCGCGCGCUGAGCCCUCCGCCGACCUCUUGGUGAAUCUGAGCCGCUGCCGACGCCUCAUCGUGGUGCUUUCGGACGCCUUCCUGAGCCGGGCCUGGUGCAGCCACAGCUUCCGGUGGGUCCCGCGCGGGGUUGGGUGGGCCCCAGCUUAGCACCCACCCCCUGACGGUCCCGCCCCGCAGGGAGGGCCUGUGCCGGCUGCUGGAGCUCACCCGCAGGCCCAUCUUCAUCACCUUCGAGGGCCAAAGGCGCGACCCCGCGCACCCGGCGCUCCGCCUGCUACGCCAGCACCGCCACCUG
rnacentral:sRNA from 1 species